CUGUGUGCCAGCUUUAUCAAUGCAGUUUGUUUUCGUAAAGUUUUUAGAUUUAUUCCCUUUGAAAGGUCGCGCCUUGAUGGACAGCAUAACAAGAAGGGAAGAAAAAGAGCGAGGGCAGAGGAGACUCGGGCCGCCAAGUCUCGCCUCGACAUCAGCUGUGUUGUGUUGUCAGAGGUGUGUCAGCCACACCCCCUCCUUGCCUGGUCACUUCAACGUCUCCGAGUCGUUAGCGCGAUGUUUAUGAAUGUAAUAUUAGCAGUGAUGAUAAUUGCCCUCCGUGGUGUUAGCCAAGGUGGAGGACCGAGGAAGCGAGGAAUUUUAUGACUCACUUUAUUGUGAAUAAAGACAGGAAAUGAGCGGAGCAGGAAGGUAAAGCUACACAACAGUCCUUAUCAGAAAGAAGACAUGCUUCAUUUCAUCCUCACCUGCACUCACUAAGGGCAGGUGGUGACACUUACCUCCCUGGCAUCCCAGCAUCCUGACACUCACCUUCCCACCCCACAGCAAGGAGUGGUGGUAUGUUGUGCUUGAUGACAAACCUUUCCUCAAUCACCAUCUGUGUUGCUGUGACAAUCUGUGCCAUGAUGAUGAGGAGGUCACCUGUGGAUCACAGAGGUUUGUGCAGUACUUUCCUGCCACUUACCAGUAAUAACACCAUUGAGAUCUUGAUUGGUCUUGCUUGAGGAAAUGAAGUCUGACAGACCCACAACAACUAAACCAAUCAGCACAAGCACAAUUCCCAGCCAGUGGAAGUAACGCAGCCGCCGCCCAAGGAACCCCACUGAUAACAGUCCCGUGAACACUAUGACUGCUCCUGCAGGACAGAUAAGGCAUUUAAAGAUAUAGUUAUUGUUUAGAGUUUUACAAAUAUCUCUACUUUGAUUUGUUCCUCUUUCUUUCCCCUUUCACCUAAUGCACCCAAACCAUUCCAUUCUCCAGUGUCUUAGCCUUACUCUCUCUUCCUCUGCUGCCUGCUGCCACCCUUGUCCUUACCUCUCAGCAUUUGAAAGGAGCUAGCAUAGGUGAGGGUAAGGCCAAGGUACAUCAUGGAGGUGGCUGUCAUGUCACAUAUUGCUGGCAGGUAGAACACGAGUGGUGGAAACUUGGUGUUCUGGCCAAAGGGAAACUCAUUAGUACCUAUUAUCUUGUGUUUGACCAAUAAUAAAAGUACAUUCAUAUAGUAUCACUUUGUUGUAUUUGCCUAGUGUGGAAAGUCACUUAGCAUGUCAUGGAUGGAUGGAUGGAUGGGUAGGAGGGAACACACUAGAAAUGUUUAAAGGAAGGUGAUGAAGUUCUGUUGGUAUGGUUGGUGAGACAGUUUUAUGUGUGUUGGGAAUGAGGAUAAGGUACAGAAAUAUUAGCAGGAAGCUUGAAUUGUGCCAUUAUAUGAAGUCCCAACUUAUGAGGAAUAACUUUACUCUUUGUAUCAAGAAAAUGGGAAAAACACAAAGAAUGUCAGAAUUAGAAAAUAAAACAAAAGUAUAAUGAAAGACCAAAAUAAAUGGAAAUGCCAACACUUGAGGAAAGAAAGGAGAGGAAAGACCUAAUCACAAUACAUAUUCUGAUAAAUGGACUGGGAAACAGAGAGAGAGAAAAAAAUGUUAUUGCUUGAAUAAAAAGAUAGGCAGGAUAUUUGAGAGGACACAAGAAAAGAUGAGGAUGGGAAAAUAUUGAAAUUGCAUGAUAGAUGUACUGUUCCUCUCUUAUAAACAUAGAUACCAAGAAUAGACUAGAAGUGAUGUAGGCAAGGACUGUAGAUAAAUUAAAUUAAAAACUGGAAGAAUAUAGAUGUGGAGACAAAACCACAAAACUGUAACUCAGAUUUUGUAUACUACAUAUAGGUAAAUAUAUAAACACACACACACACACACACACACACACACACACACACACACACACACACACUUGCCUGGUCGGAGUCCAAAGCCAAUUCUGAGGCACCUUUCCGUGCUCUUCGCCGCAAGAACCUCAAAAUGUAGAAGGCAGCCAUACCUGUUGGUAAGCUGAGCAUUAAUCCUUUCACUGUUAUUCAGCACAUCUUCCCUGAAUCACCAACCACUUAGGGACAUCUUUCCUUGUUCUGCUGCCUCCUCCAAACAUUGUAUGGCAUAGAAAUUCUUAAGUAUGUUAUUUUUACACCUUUCUUUCUUGUAGGUGUUUAUAAGACUCCAUAUGUUGCUUUUAGUGUUUUGAAUUGUUGCAUAUCACAGUGAAAGGGAGAGAGAGAGAGAGAGAGAGAGAGAGAGAGAGAGAGAGAGAGAGAGAGAGAGAGAGAGAGAGAGAGAGAGAGAGAGAGAGAGGCUUAUAAAAAUACAUUCUGAACACUCACAGGUCAUCUCUCCCAUAAACAUACAGUCCGCCUGAAGGAAGGGAUGGUUGAAGUUGACUACAUUGCCAUGACGGUUUUCAGAAACAAUGCGGUCUGUCCACCUGCAGGGGAGAGAAGAUGUGAAGGGCUCUGGUGCUGGUGAAUUGUCCUGCGUUAGUAGUAGUAGUGGUGGUGGUAAUGAUGGUUUAAGCUGUAGUAGUAGUAUAUAGUAUAGUAGUAGUAGCAGCAGUUGUAGUAAUUAUAUUAGUACAUUAUAGUUGCAGUGGCAGUACUAGUUCAUAGUAGUGAUAGUAGUGACAAAAAUAAAAACAGCAGCAGUAGGCAAUAAUUACAGCAUUACAGUGAAAGUCAAUGAAAUUUGUGCUGUGAUAUGGUGACUUAUUUUAUUUUAUUUAUUUUUUGUAUCCUUAGAAAAUUUUCUCUUCCUCCACUCUUGUCUAUUUUGUAUCAUUCCUUCUCUUCUAAGCUCAGAGCUAGAAGAACUUAGAGGAGAAGGAAUUAUAUAACAUAGACAAGAGUGGAAGAAGAGGCUGGCUUCACUCAAAGAGAUUCCUCUCUCACUGGGAGCUCAAAUAAGAAGUAAAAAGUACUUAAGUAAAGAAAAUUUUCUCAA